GUUGAAUAAAAUGUACAUGGUUGGAUCCAAACUGUCUAAAUACUCACAGCUUUAAAGAGAAAUCAGCAUGUAUCUGGCACACCAAUGAAUACUGUGUUCUUCAGAGCUCAUGCUGAACUGUGUACAUUGAAGGGUCUCCCUAAAGGAAACUUUGAGACCCUUCUGUAGGCUGACCCUUCUUAGAUGGAGCUCGGCCUUCAUUUUGGAAUGCUCCGCCAUCUGAGUGCUUUAAAAAUUAAGGUGGCUUUGAGGAUCCUCUCACUUCACAGUGUGGGGAGCCAUGGCAAGCCUAGGCUUGACUCCCUUCCUGGAUGGAACUCGUACCUCAGAACUGUUGCCUCUGUGUUGUUCCAGUCAUGAUCCCCAAAGCAUGAUUCCUGAUUUGGAGGCCAAGAAAGUACAGCCUGUCUUAGCAUGUGAUCUUAUGUAAGGCACUGUGUGUCGAGCUGGCAGGAAACAAACAUCUCUCCAGCCCCCUGUUUUCAGAGACGGGUCGGAAAAUAUUUCAGCUGCUUGGUAUCAGCCUGCUGUGGUCAGUUAUCAGUGUGGUCCAGAAGGACAGGACAGCGCACCAUUCAUGGUCUGUCAGAGCUGCUCCUAGAUGGGCGGAUGGCGUCAUGACCAAAUCUCGCCUGCAUGUUUUUCAUUUCCAGUUAAGCAUGCAUGUUGGUCCUCUGGGAGUAACCCCACUCUUCAGAUCCGUGCCUUGCACCUGGAAGAGGAGGUACCUGAGGCCAAUAAGAAGUAGAAACACAAAAAGGGCUGGUGGUGUUGAUUGCCAAAAGACAUACCAGGACUAUGGCAGCCAGUCAGCACAGAACAGAAACAUAAAAGCAUUCCAUGUCAAGAGCCGCAAGAACUUUCAGUCACCCCAUCCAGGCACGUGGCAAGGACGCGGGUCUCACUGCUGUUUCUCUUCGUGUUGGCAUGAUGAUUCCCAGACAGACAUGGGGCAAGCUAUUCUGAAAAGAGUACCAGGAGCACUUUGCAGGCAAAGAACGAUGUAA
ensembl:lncRNA